rnacentral:rRNA from 1 species
AAACUUUCAACAACGGAUCUCUUGGCUCUGUUUCUUCUGAGUAAACAAGCAAAUAAAUUAAGUACUUUCAAUUGCAGAAUUCAGUGAAUCAUCGAAUCUUUGAACGCACAUUGCGCCCGCCAGUAUUCUGGCGGGCAUGCCUGUUCGAGCGUCAUU